GCAGUCGAUAUGAGUCCUGAGGCUGGCGAACCGAACGGACUAGUUGCCAUGCUGAUUUGGUGGUAAAGUCACCAUCCGAAGUAAUUUUCCAAACAAUUCGGUCCGUGGCAUCUGCACAUAAAGGUAUCGCCCCUACCUGUUCCGCCAUGUGAGAAGGAAGGGCCUGUAAUAACCGUCCAAAAUCCCACCCAGUGUCGUCAAAAAA
rnacentral:lncRNA from 1 species